UAGGUUUUUUAUUAUUUUGAUGGGUUAAAUUGCUCCUUUCCAUUUUUAUUUUAACCUAAAUCAUUAGUAUAAAUAUGGUCCCAAUUCUACACUUUAGGGGGACUAACGACGAAUCCUAAUUUUCAUCAUCCUUCUCACGAAAUCCUAUUCUCUGUUUCUUACACUAACAACUCCACAAAUUUUUUUCUUUUCAGCACAAAAGCCUGAUGAACAUGAGAGAAGAAGAAGAUCAAAGAAAGAAGAUGAAAUCACCGAGCACCUCACAACAUCAAAUCGCAAUACCUUCAACCGAUGAAGCUCCGCUCCAUCUCCGGCAACAGCCGUACGAACCGCGAGCCACCGCCCCCAUCUCUUCCGCCGUUUUCGAAUCUGGUACGAUCUUUCCAUUUUCCAUUUUAUUUUAAUUGUUAUUUUGAAAGCUUUGUGUAUGGUUGUGAUUUUGGAAGCUUUCAUGGUGGUUCAAUUUUAGAUAUUUAUGAUGAAGAAGAAGUAGAGAUAGAAUGUGUGGUUCUGUUGCUUAUUAGUAUCACAUGUUAGUUUCUAUGUUUUGUAUUAUUAUUUUUAUUAAUUAACAAUGCUUUUGUUUUUUUAAUUAAAAAUGAGAGAAUCAUGAUUAGAUAUAUAAAAGGGGCCACCCCCUAUACUGCUACGAUCCAGACUAGGUGUUUUCUUUGUUUUAUUUUAAUUUUUAAUUUUUCUUACUUCUAAUUUUGUAUGUUAUGUUUAAGUUAUGAAUUAGUAAUUUAUUUGUUUAGUUUUAUCAAGUACCGAAAAUACAACAAUGUAUAUAUCUCAUCCCAUUAAAUCCCUAUUGAAUUAGUUAUCAUGUUAGUGUAAUUAGUUUAGGUUUUAAACUAUUUAAAAAAUGAUUGAAAAUAAAAAUGAUUUAUCUUAGUUUGAUUAAAUACUUGGAUUAAUUCAGCUAUUAAAAUAAUUCAAUUUAGGUUUCUAAUUAUUAAAAAAAAAUGCAGCACACCAUAGACCUUCAAAAGUCAUCACACUCAAUUACACCCCCAGGUUUUAGGUUUUGUAAUUAAACAUUGAAUUUCUUCAUCGCGAUUCUCUUCUCUUCUUUGUGCAAUUUUCAGGUUCACCCUGAGGCUUCCCGCCAACCAUAUCAGAUCAAACGCAAAGCUAAGUAUCUAGUUUUCUUUAUUUAUUUAUUUAGCCUUACAAUAUUUAUCCUUUUAUUUUAGGGUUAGUUCUGUUGCCUUUAGGGUUAGUUCUGUUGCCUUCGAACCGAUAAUGCACUCACCCUACUUUUUGUUUGCCAUUUUUCCCGCCUUGCAGGGUUUGCCAAAUGCCAAAGCGUCAAGUAUUGGUAACCCUAAACUCAAAUUAUUACUUAUGUUAGACCUAUUUGUUUGUUAUACCCCGCUGGUUUCAAUUCCCCUUUCCUCCGCUGGUUUCAUUGUCCCCUUUCCCCAUAUGGUUAUUGUUUUUGCCUUAUAUUAUCUGCGUGGUUAGUAAUUUAGGGAGUGCAAUUUUAAAUUGAAUUAGCCUCACUAAUUAUAAGAUAAUUUAAUCGAAUUAAUCACGUGAUUGAUGCACCCACGCACACCUUUGGGGUAACCUCUCUGUUGCCUUGUUGCCUGUUGCCUGUUGCCUUGUGUUAUUUUGCAGAAUAGCCAGUCCCUCGAAUACGAGGAUACCUUAGCCAGUUGCCUCGAUUUAGAUCAUGGUCCCUAAUGAUGCUGCCUUCGAUAUGCAUGAUCUCGACCCUCGGAAGUUGCCUACGAAAAGGCUAAGGUAUCCUCUGGCUGCCUACGAAAGGCUAUUCUGGUCCUUCCCCUUAGACUAUCUGCCUUUCUAUGGCAUGGGUCAGUCUUAUGGCGAAGGAUAUUUCGAUGACCCUUCAAACCUCCAAAUGAAAGGCUUCCUGCCCUCUUAUGGCAAGGAUAGACCCUUUCACCCUGAAAGGCUAAAAGAACAGAUUCUCAAAAUUAUAAGGUAAAUUGCCCUUAAUUGCUUUGCCUUGCUCUAAAAACAUUUUUAAUAUUCUUUCUCAUAAUUCUUCAAUAUGGCUACGCUCAUUUACGAGCUAAAGUCCGUAUUCACUUCUUCUACAUUUCUGAAACAAAAAGAGCAAAGCAAAUUAAGAGCCCAUGGAAAACCAUGGAUGCAAAGGGUGCUUUUUAAACCUUCCCUUUGCAUAAUUUACCCCCGAACUCAAAAUCUUUUUAAAAGGUAUUUUCCUGUUCUUUUAGCCUUUCCGAUAUUUGGAUAAAAUAAAAGUCGGUGGCGACUCUUGCUAUCCGCGACAUUUC